AGGCAUAUGUUGCAACAGAGGGAUUUACUUCAACUUAACACUUAUAACAAUGAUCGAUGAAUGUUUAAACUCUCCUUGUCUAAAUGGAGGAACCUGUUUCGACGAGUUCGAAUCAUUCCGAUGUCACUGUCCCAACGAGUAUGAAGGAGGCUUGUGCCAAAACCAAAUUACCACACAAAGGCCGAUUCAGACGACGGAUAGCUCAACUACAG